AGUGAACGCUGGCGGUAGACCUAACACAUGCAAGUCGAACGGCAGCACAGUAAGAGCUUGCUCUUACGGGUGGCGAGUGGCGGACGGGUGAGGAAUACAUCGGAAUCUACUUUUUCGUGGGGGAUAACGUAGGGAAACUUACGCUAAUACCGCAUACGAUCUACGGGUGAAAGCAGGGGAUCUUCGGACCUUGCGCGAUUGAAUGAGCCGAUGUCGGAUUAGCUAGUUGGCGGGGUAAAGGCCCACCAAGGCGACGAUCCGUAGCUGAUCUGAGAGGAUGAUCAGCCACACUGGAACUGAGACACGGUCCAGACUCCUACGGGAGGCAGCAGUGGGGAAUAUUGGACAAUGGGCGCAAGCCUGAUCCAGCCAUACCGCGUGGGUGAAGAAGGCCUUCGGGUUGUAAAGCCCUUUUGUUGGGAAAGAAAAGCAGCAGGUUAAUACCCCGCUGUUCUGACGGUACCCAAAGAAUAAGCACCGGCUAACUUCGUG
rnacentral:rRNA from 1 species